UACGUAGGGUGCAAGCGUUGUCCGGAAUUAUUGGGCGUAAAGAGCUCGUAGGCGGUUUGUCGCGUCGGCUGUGAAAACUCGGGGCUCAACCCCGAGCCUGCAGUCGAUACGGGCAGACUAGAGUGCUGUAGGGGAGACUGGAAUUCCUGGUGUAGCGGUGAAAUGCGCAGAUAUCAGGAGGAACACCGGUGGCGAAGGCGGGUCUCUGGGCAGUAACUGACGCUGAGGAGCGAAAGCGUGGGGAGCGAGCAGG
rnacentral:rRNA from 1 species